CUCAGAUUGAACGCUGGCGGCAGGCCUAACACAUGCAAGUCGAGCGGAAACGACACUAACAAUCCUUCGGGUGCGUUAAUGGGCGUCGAGCGGCGGACGGGUGAGUAAUGCCUAGGAAAUUGCCUUGAUGUGGGGGAUAACCAUUGGAAACGAUGGCUAAUACCGCAUAAUGCCUACGGGCCAAAGAGGGGGACCUUCGGGCCUCUCGCGUCAAGAUAUGCCUAGGUGGGAUUAGCUAGUUGGUGAGGUAAUGGCUCACCAAGGCGACGAUCCCUAGCUGGUCUGAGAGGAUGAUCAGCCACACUGGAACUGAGACACGGUCCAGACUCCGUACGGGAGGCAGCAGUGGGGAAUAUUGCACAAUGGGCGAAAGCCUGAUGCAGCCAUGCCGCGUGUAUGAAGAAGGUCCGUUCGGUUUGUAAAGUACUUCAGUUGUGUAGGAAGGGUAACGUUAAGUAGUCGUUAUCUCUUGUACGUUACGCAACGAGAAGAACGACGACCGGUACCG
rnacentral:rRNA from 1 species